rnacentral:rRNA from 1 species
CAGCCGCCGCGGGAAUACAGAGGGUGCGAGCGUUAAUCGGAUUUACUGGGCGUAAAGCGUGCGUAGGCGGCUUCUUAAGUCGUAUGUGAAAUCCCUGAGCUUAACUUAGGAAUUGCAUUCGAUACUGGGAAGCUAGAGUAUGGGAGAGGAUGGUAGAAUUCCAGGUGUAGCGGUGAAAUGCGUAGAGAUCUGGAGGAAUACCGAUGGCGAAGGCAGCCAUCUGGCCUAAUACUGACGCUGAGGUACGAAAGCAUGGGGAGCAAACAGGAUUAGAUACCCCGGUAGUCCCUGUCUCUUAUAC